rnacentral:rRNA from 1 species
CUAAGCCGGAGGAAGGUGGGGAUGACGUCAAGUCCUCAUGGCCCUUACAGGGUGGGCUACACACGUGCUACAAUGGCGACUACAGAGGGUUAAUCCUUAAAAGUCGUCUCAGUUCGGAUUGUCCUCUGCAACUCGAGGGCAUGAAGUUGGGAAUCGCUAGUAAUCGCGGGAUCAGCAUGCCGCGGUGAAUACGUUCCCGGGCCUUGUACACACCGCCCGUCACACCAUGGGAGUUGGUUCUAUCCGAAGGCGGUGCGCUAACCAGCAAUGGAGGCAGCCGACCACGGUAGGGUCAGCGACUGGGGUGAAGUCGUAACAAGGUAGCCGUAGGGGAACCUGCGGCUGGAUCACCUCCUUUAUG